rnacentral:sRNA from 1 species
GAGAAGCUUCGACUAAGGUUCGAUUCGAGCGAAAGCGAGAAAGCGUUGCCGCAGGCAACGACCCGAAGGGCGAAGCGCGCAGCGCUGAGUAAUCCUUCCCCCACCACCA